rnacentral:rRNA from 1 species
UACGAAGGGUGCAAGCGUUAAUCGGAAUUACUGGGCGUAAAGCGUGCGCAGGCGGUUGUGCAAGACCGAUGUGAAAUCCCCGGGCUCAACCUGGGAAUGGCAUUGGUGACUGCACGGCUAGAGUGUGUCAGAGGGGGGGUAGAAUUCCACGUGUAGCAGUGAAAUGCGUAGAGAUGUGGAGGAAUACCGAUGGCGAAGGCAGCCCCUG